rnacentral:pre_miRNA from 1 species
AGUGAAGUAACUGGGUCAAAUGGUAGUUCUGUUCCUGGUUUUCUGAGAAAUCUCUAUACUGCUUUCCAGAGUGGUUGUUCCAAUUUGCAGUCCCAUCAGCAAU